rnacentral:rRNA from 1 species
UACGAAGGGGGCUAGCGUUGUUCGGAAUUACUGGGCGUAAAGGGUGCGUAGGCGGUUGUUUAAGUCUGUCGUGAAAUCCCCGGGCUCAACCUGGGAAUGGCGAUGGAUACUGGGCAGCUAGAGUGUGUCAGAGGAUGGUGGAAUUCCCGGUGUAGCGGUGAAAUGCGUAGAGAUCGGGAGGAACAUCAGUGGCGAAGGCGGCCAUCUGGGACAACACUGACGCUGAGGUGCGAAAGCGUGGGGAGCAAACAGG